AUUGAACGCUGGCGGCAGGCCUAACACAUGCAAGUCGAGCGGAUGAAGGGAGCUUGCUCCUGGAUUCAGCGGCGGACGGGCGAGUAAUGCCUAGGAAUCUGCCUGGUAUUUGGGGAUAACGUCCGGAAACGGGCGCUAAUACCGCAUACGUCCUGAGGUUGAACGUGGGGGAUCUUCGGACCUCACGCUAUCAGAUGAGCCUAGGUCGGAUUAGCUAGUUGGUGGGGUAAAGGCCUACCAAGGCGACGAUCCGUAACUGGUCUGAGAGGAUGAUCAGUCACACUGGAACUGAGACACGGUCCAGACUCCUACGGGAGGCAGCAGUGGGGAAUAUUGGACAAUGGGCGAAAGCCUGAUCCAGCCAUGCCGCGUGUGUGAAGAAGGUCUUCGGAUUGUAAAGCACUUUAAGUUGGGAGGAAGGGCAGUAAGUUAAUACCUUGCUGUUUUGACGUUACCAACAGAAUAAGCACCGGCUAACUUCGUG
rnacentral:rRNA from 1 species